rnacentral:lncRNA from 1 species
CCCUGUCUUUGUUUAUGAGAGUGCUGUAACAAUCAGCUGCUCAAUCAUGAUGCAUAUAAAAUUAGCCUCCCCCUGCUGAUGGUCCUGUUAUUGUUUAUUGAUGUGCUGCCUGCAGGGACUAUCAUGACCCCAUCAAGUGGAGGAAAGGGUAGAAGAAAGCUUUAACAAAUAAUAGGUGUAUCUUCAGGGAGGGAACAGCAACAGCAACAACAAGAAAGAAACAAAUCUAGGUUGUUUUAGUUCUAGACUUCUAGGUCUAAGUAUAUGAUAGUAGUCCUAUAAAUAAUAGUCGUUUAGUAGCUCCUGCCGGUAUCAAGAACAAAGAUCAAAGGUCCAUCUCGUAAGCUCGUUUGUAGUAUGGAUCUCAGAAUGAUACAGUCAUUAAACCGUAGAUGAUGUAGUAGUAACUAGUCCUGGCAGCCAGUUGUAGUGAAGUGACAUGGCUGCAUACAGACAUCCAAAGAAAACAGAGGCUAGACUGCUAGAGAGGUAGAGGAGUGGACAAAAGCCAGAGAGGUAGAGGAGUGGACAAAAGCCAGGCAGUCAUAGUGCUGCAGCUGCACAACAGCACAAGGAAAAGUGACGCGACGAGAGGGACCAGAGCACUCACAUGAGCAGUUCAGCAUGGACCCGUCAUCCGUGUCCUAUUUUGCCCAUUGCUGUUGCAUCGUCUUGCAUGCUUGCAGCACUCCUUGGGUCUGUGCAUCCACCUUUUGCUCUUCUUUUCACCCUUGUAGAACAGCAGGAGGUAGCAGACAAAGAAAUGGAAAAGUAAUUAUCAGCCAAUAUUUCAUCUGUCAUGUUUCGAUAAUGUGGUUUUAUUAUAUGGUGAAGGGCUUAUGUUUGCUUUAGAUUUUCCUGCACAAAACAACUGCUUGUUCUGAUUCUAAAGCUCAUUUGGAAUGCAUUCUGCAGCAUUUGAUCGACAGGUGAACAGAGAAUGUAAUGCCCAUUUGGAAUACAAGAAUUUUCAAUUUUGGUGAUAAUAGUUAAAGUGUUUGUGGAGGUUUGGUCCGGUUUGCCGAUUUUCUGGGCAACCGAAAGGCAGGGGGCAUGAGAGCGAGGAGAAUCUGAUGCAGUGUGAGAUUGACGUGGCUGAGUGAAUGGAGGGAGACCUGAUGGGGAAAGGGGGAACAGCACGCUCACCUUUCGGUAUAUGGGAUGGGAUGCCCAACUUGCUUGAGCUUGGUGCAUGCAGAAUGAACUUGUCUCAUGGCUGGCGAUGCAAACGGGUUGUCUCGUGCUCACGCUUGUUGGCACCAUGCAUUGGAUUGGAUGAUCUGCGUCGUUUGCAACUCUCCAUGCAUGGUCUCGCCAUCGCCAUCAGAAAGAGCAACAGUGCAGCUGAUGUCUUGUGUUUUCUUAGGGGGUGUUUGGAUAGCAGGGGCUAAAAUUUAGCCCUGCACCUCGGAUGUUCGGAUGCUAAUUAGGAGGACUAAAUAUGAACUAAUUAUAAAACUAAUAGCAGAACCCCUAGGCUAAAUCGCGAUAUGAAUCUAUUAAGCCUAAUUAAUCCAUCAUUAGCGAAUGACAUCACAUUGUCAAAUCAUGGACUAAUUAGGCUUAAUAGAUUUGUCUCGCGAUUUAGCCUAGGGGUUGUGUAAUUAAUUUUAUAAUUAGUCUAUGUUUAAUACUCCUAAUUAGUGUUCAAAUAUCCGAUGUGACAUGGGCUAAAAUUUAGCCCAUGCCUCCCAAACACCCCCUUAGCUAGUAUGAAUGUGAUAUAAAGAAAGCUAGAGAAGAGAACUGGUCGGUCGUUACUUGCUCCUAACCACCGGGCAUGAUCGAG